rnacentral:rRNA from 1 species
GGUAGUAAAUAAACCAACAUAUAUUGGCGGUCUUUACUUAUUAGAGAAACUCGCUUUAUAAUCGUAAAUACUCGUUAAUUUUAACUUUUAUUACAAGUUUAUAUACCGCCGUUUAAGGAUUUAAAUUAAACAAAUCUCACUCAUCUUUAAAUACAAAAUCAGGUCAAGGUGUAACUAAUAUAAAAGAAAAAGUAAGUUACACUAAGAACUACUUAAGGAUUAAUUUUAAAAUUAAAAAUGAAAAAGAAUUUAUAUGUACGUCUUAAUUAAAAACUAAAACUGAAAUAUUCCGUAAAGAUG